GAUGUGGCACGCGCCUGUCACACCACGCGGGACAGAGCUGCGCGCGCUGCGGAUGAAUCAUGUGACAUGAGCGACGCUGUUUCCUGGAGAAGCUCAGGCGACAUGGAGCCGACAGGCGUCUCCUCGCCCGCUGUCCCGGAGCCGGAGUUGUAUCGGCGGAUUCAGGCGAUUCUCCCAAAAGAAUCGGACGACUCCCAGACCCAGGACUGUUACAACAAAGGUAUGCUCAGGUGGACCCUUCAUAAGAAAGUCCAGAAGAACCCGGUCAACAGCCUGUCCCUGGUGUGGCUGC